UCGGUCCCCCUCGUCCACACGAAUCUCGACGAGGGCGGUGAUUUUGUCCCAAAACGUUUCAAAGGGUUACGGUACUGUACACGCGAUAGGAGGAGGGGAAUCAUGUAUAUAGUGUAUUAAAAACAACCCCCUCCCCUAACCUGGCGGUGCACGUGUAGGGGUUUAUCGGCCGCCGCUGCCGCCGGAUAUUAUUAUUUUCAUUUCGAAUUAAUGACUGGAAAUAACGUCGGGCGUACUACCUAUACGCUUUACGGUUGGUGUGCUAUGCGUGGGAUUAGAAUAUAUUAAGGGGGCUCGAUGAGAGGACCCGAACUCGAUGAGACCUAUACCGUCGAUAUUAUUGUUGCUAUAAAAUUUACUGUAAAACUGUAUGCGCGGCGGAUAUGUUAUUUUGUUUCGGUAAACAACACAAUAGUACUCGACGUAGAACACCAGACAUGCGUUUACCAUUAACGAUAACAUUGCAGUGCUGGUGCAUAGUAAAAUCGCUAAAUAAUCCUGGGUGUUAAUGUGAGAGGAUUCCCCUCGGGGCCACAUUUCGGAUCUACUCGAAUUUAUACUCGACAAUAUGAGCAAAAUACUCGUAGAUGUCACUCUUAUUAUAUAGAUUUCAUAAUUUUUU